GAUGAACGCUGACAGAAUGCUUAACACAUGCAAGUCGACUUGAAGCAAUUUCGGUUGUGGAAAGUGGCGGACGGGUGAGUAACGCGUAAAGAACUUGCCCUUCAGUCUGGGACAACCAUUGGAAACGAUGGCUAAUACCGGAUAUUAUGGAACUCUCGCAUGGGAGGAUCAUGAAAGCUAUAUGCGCUGAAGGAGAGCUUUGCGUUCCAUUAGCUAGUUGGUGAGGUAACGGCUCACCAAGGCGACGAUGGAUAGCCGGCCUGAGAGGGUGAUCGGCCACAAGGGGACUGAGACACGGCCCUUACUCCUACGGGAGGCAGCAGUGGGGAAUAUUGGACAAUGGACCAAAAGUCUGAUCCAGCAAUUCUGUGUGCACGAUGAAGGUUUUCGGAUCGUAAAGUGCUUUCAGUUGGGAAGAAGAAAGUGACGGUACCAACAGAAGAAGCGACGGCUAAAUACGUGCCAGCAGCCGCGGUAAUACGUAUGUCGCAAGCGUUAUCCGGAUUUAUUGGGCGUAAAGCGCGUCUAGGCGGGUUCAUAAGUCUGAUGUUAAAAUGCGGGGCUCAACUCCGUAUUGCGUUGGAAACUGCGAACCUAGAGUAUCAGAGAGGUGGGCGGAACUACAAGUGUAGAGGUGAAAUUCGUAGAUAUUUGUAGGAAUGCCGAUGGAGAAGUCAGCUCACUGGAUGAAUACUGACGCUAAAGCGCGAAAGCGUGGGUAGCAAACAGG
rnacentral:rRNA from 1 species